UACAGAGGUGGCAAGCGUUGUUCGGAAUUACCGGGCGUAAAGGGCGCGUAGGCGGUUCGUUAAGUCCUGUGUGAAAUCCCCCGGCUCAACUGGGGAACUGCACAGGAAACUAGCGGGCUUGAGUUCGGGAGAGGGAAGCGGAAUUCCGGGUGUAGCGGUGAAAUGCGUAGAUAUCCGGAGGAACACCGGUGGCGAAGGCGGCUUCCUGGACCGACACUGACGCUGAGGCGCGAAAGCUAGGGGAGCAAACGGG
rnacentral:rRNA from 1 species